rnacentral:rRNA from 1 species
GACGAACGCUGGCGGCGCGCCUAACACAUGCAAGUCGAACGAGCGAGAGAGAGCUUGCUUUCUCAAGCGAGUGGCGAACGGGUGAGUAACGCGUGAGGAACCUGCCUCAAAGAGGGGGACAACAGUUGGAAACGACUGCUAAUACCGCAUAAGCCCACAGGUCGGCAUCGACCAGAGGGAAAAGGAGCAAUCCGCUUUGAGAUGGCCUCGCGUCCGAUUAGCUAGUUGGUGAGGUAACGGCCCACCAAGGCAACGAUCGGUAGCCGGACUGAGAGGUUGAACGGCCACAUUGGGACUGAGACACGGCCCAGACUCCUACGGGAGGCUGCAGUGGGGAAUAUUGCACAAUGGGGGAAACCCUGAUGCAGCGACGCCGCGUGGAGGAAGAAGGUCUUCGGAUUGUAAACUCCUGUUGUUGAGGAAGAUAAUGACGGUACUCAACAAGGAAGUGACGGCUAACUACGU